ACUGCAUUUGUUAUUGGUUGGAUUUAUGCUUCAUAUUUUUAUUAUAAUCAGUGACGGCUUAAAGUGUUUGAACUGCGGCUAGGCGACUAAAAAUCGACUGAAUUGCAAAGUGUAAACAAUCCUGCGUCAUACCAGAUAAACAAAAUCAACAAACAAAAGAUGUUGGUAGCUGAGGACAUACAUGAUUAUAACAUCAGACAAGAAAUAAAAUAUUUCGGAUUAGAAUGCGAAUCUCAUAAAACGACCCACAGAUCUUUAAAUAUGAAAAUUAAAGGAGAUCUGAUAAACAGAACCAAGAAACAAAAAAAGAACGAUAAGAUUUUAGACCUCAAUAACUACUGUCAACUAGAGAUUAUGAAAUAUAUUAUUGCUGACUGCGAGUUGAGCGAUAAAUCUCGGGGUAAUAAAAUGAAAUACGCCAAUUUGGUAAAUUUUGCCCUGGCGUAUGAGGUUUUUGAGGUAUUAUUAGAAGAAUACUACA